CUUGAAAAAAAAAAAAACAUAAACAGGGUCGCUUGUGCAUUCCCAGCCUCCCACUCCCUGGUCGGCGCGAAGCCUCGAACCCAGUUCAUCCGACGGGAACCCGGGAAUUAGCAGAGAUACAGUUUGAAUCAGAAAGCAUGUCCACUUAUAUGUGGGCGCCAAUGGCCACUUCCAUGCCGACUUCGUCUUCUUCCUCUCAAUUGCCCGUAAGGAGAAAUUUUAGGACAUGUUGCUUCAUGAAAGCCAGAAAUCAAGCUAAAAUUCCUAUGCCCCCCAUCAACCCUAAAGACCCCUUUCUUUCAAAGCUUGCUUCUGUAGCUGCCACUUCUCCGGAAACGCUGCUUAACCGUCCCGUGAAUUCUGAAGUCCCUCCUUAUUUGGACAUAUUCGAGGCCCCCAAGCUCAUGGCUACUCCCGCCCAAGUGGAGAGAUCUGUUUCAUACAAUGAACACCGUCCUAGAAGGCCUCCACCUGAUUUGCCUUCACUGCUUCUUCAUGGCAGAAUUGUUUAUAUUGGCAUGCCUUUGGUGCCAGCUGUCACAGAACUUGUUGUGGCGGAGUUGAUGUACCUUCAGUGGAUGGACCCAAAAGAACCUAUAUAUAUUUAUAUUAAUUCAACUGGAACUACUCGCGAUGAUGGUGAAACGGUAGGAAUGGAGACAGAAGGUUUUGCCAUUUAUGAUGCAAUGAUGCAGUUAAAAAAUGAGAUUCACACAGUGGCAGUUGGAGCAGCAAUAGGUCAAGCUUGUCUGCUACUUGCUGCAGGGACCAAGGGUAAACGAUUUAUGAUGCCGCAUUCCAAAGCCAUGAUUCAGCAGCCUCGUGUUCCAUCAUCCGGUUUGAUGCCUGCCAGUGAUGUUCUUAUUCGUGCACAGGAGGUGAUAAUAAACAGGGAUACUCUUGUCAAACUACUAGCAAAGCACACUGGAAAUUCAGAGGAGAGAGUAGCUAACGUGAUGAAGAGACCAUAUUAUAUGGAUUCCUCAAAGGCCAAGGAAUUUGGCGUCAUUGACAAAAUUCUUUGGCGAGGUCAGGAGAAGGUGAUGGCAGAUGUUGCUCCUCCUGAGGAAUGGGACAAGGGUGCUGGUAUCAAAGUUGUUGAAGGAUUUUAGUUCCUCUCGGCUGGGCAUCUGUUUACUCAAAAAAGCCCUCUUGUAACUGAGAUGCUAUCUCCUCCUCCAUCUUCUUAUGUGGCAUCUAUGUGGGCCCAUGCAUAGCAAAUCUUUGUCCUGAUAAGGUUGCUGUUCAAGCAAAUUACGAACCCCUUCAGAUCUUUGGUCCAAUAUCUUGAUAUUUCAUGAAAGACCAAUUGUUCUCUGCCAGGCAAGUUCUAGAAAACAACCUCGAAAAUACACAUGAACAACUGUCCAACAUUUGUGCGACAAGAACGAGAAGCGGCAACAAGUUCUCAAACCCAAUCAACCUUCUCCUGUCUUUAUUGGAAGAAACAAAUUCAACAGUAGAGAGAGAGGAGCAAUCGGAGCACUGCAAGUCCCCAGAAGCUCGAUCAAAAUGAAGAAAGCAAUAGACUUAUGGAUUGGAUAAGAAUAAAAAUUAAAGAACCCAAUUGGCAAAUUUCAAAUUGAACAAUAUUCAAAUCUCUCUUUAACUCA